CCGCCCCUCCUCCUCUCUUUCUAGUUAUAGAUAAGAUUUGAUUCUUAUCUGAUGUGGCAUGUAAGAAAACUUUAUUUUUGUGUGAUAAAAAUCUAGAAAGAAAAACAGGGCGUGCACUAUUUUAUAGGGGAUGUUUUUCUUAUCACACAACUUGAUAUCAAUGCCACCUUUUUUCUCCCCUUCACCCCAAUGCCCAAAAUCUGAUGUGAUCAGAUCUAAAGAGAGAAAAAGAAAGAGAGGAAGAGAAGAAGAAAGAUUUUUCUUCUCUUCUUGAUGAUCUGGUUCCGAUCCCACU
rnacentral:lncRNA from 1 species